rnacentral:piRNA from 1 species
UGUUACCUGACACAGUAUUACCCAUACAGC